UAAGAGAUGUGGCCUUGUUGGAGGAGGACCAUUCUUAGGUGAAUCCAUAAAAUAUUCCCCCAUCUGGAUGGAUUCAACUGAGAUUUAUUUCCAUCUACAUAACUGAGGAAAUGAGCAGACUGAGGUAUGGUGCAUGGGCUUGGGACCUGCAGAACAGUUGACAUCAUCUCUGAAACUCUGCAAAGAGAAUCCUCAGAAGCAAAAGCAUGAACCACUCAUAGCUGGAGAUAAAAGAGCUCUGACCUUGUGUAGACCAUGUCAGGAGCUACUGUUCACAUCUUACAUGAUGAACCUUCCUCAAAUAGUGCAAUGUCCAACGAUAUAAGACCAAUGGCCUAACAGACCAAGAUGGACUUAAACUUACAAAGAUCUACCUGACUGUAUCUCCAGAAAUGAAUUAAAGGCACUCAGUAUCUGCAGGGAGAAUACUCUGCCCAUUCUUUCAAGGAAUCUGUUUUGUCAAGGCUGAACUUUGCACCCUUGUCAGCACUAAGAAGGAUUUACGAGUUGUUGUUAUUGCCUCUGCUCUCUCUCACACAUGUGAACACAUGAGAAGUGAAUUCCACAGUCAGCUCAGAGGACUCUGGGGACCUUGAGACUGAAGCAUGAGGUUUUGAUGUCCUAGGAAUCAAGUCAAAUGCGAGUAAUCUCAGCUCUGUACAGCUUGGAGAGCACAGGCCAAGCCUGGGAGCUAUUACACAGAAAAAUCAGACCCAAAAUGAAGAAGAAAAUAUUGGAAAUGUGCUUUAAAAACACACACAAAUUCAUUCCUUUCAUCACAUUGCCUUUGCACUGAUACCCUCUGUUCUAUGUUCUAAUCCUGAGGGCCUUUCUCUACCCAGGAACUGCAUGUGAACUGAUUUGUUUGCUACAGCAACCAGAGUAACACUUGAGUCUUGGGUUGUCACCUGAUCGCUUACAAACCCAUCUGAUGCUUUGGUCUGUACUCAGUGGAUUCUGAUUCAAUGAACUGGACCCACUGAUACUCUACAUCCAAUAAAGUGAUAGGCAUUUAGAACUGA